rnacentral:tRNA from 1 species
GGGGGUGUAGUUGAGUGGUUGAACACUUAGCUAACACGUGAGUUCCUGGGUUUGAGUCCCAGCACCUCAC